rnacentral:pre_miRNA from 1 species
GAACCAGUUGUAGGGCAGCACUCCGUUUGGCAGAUAUUUAGUUAUCAACACGUAUUCACGUACAUUUGUUAUCUGCCAAAGGAGAGUUGCCCUAUAAUUGUUUC